GACGAACGCUGGCGGCGUGCUUAACACAUGCAAGUCGAACGGAAAGGCCCUGCUUUUGUGGGGUGCUCGAGUGGUGAACGGGUGAGUAACACGUGAGUAACCUGCCCUUGACUUUGGGAUAACUUCAGGAAACUGGGGCUAAUACCGGAUAGGAGCUCCUGCUGCAUGGUGGGGGUUGGAAAGUUUCGGCGGUUGGGGAUGGACUCGCGGCUCAUCAGCUUGUUGGUGGGGUAGUGGCUUACCAAGGCUUUGACGGGUAGCCGGCCUGAGAGGGUGACCGGCCACAUUGGGACUGAGAUACGGCCCAGACUCCUACGGGAGGCAGCAGUGGGGAAUAUUGCACAAUGGGCGGAAGCCUGAUGCAGCAACGCCGCGUGCGGGAUGACGGCCUUCGGGUUGUAAACCGCUUUCGCCUGUGACGAAGCGUGAGUGACGGUAAUGGGUAAAGAAGCACCGGCUAACUACGUG
rnacentral:rRNA from 1 species